CUCCAGCUGACGAGUCCCAAAUAGGACGAAACGUGCUUCCUGGAU
rnacentral:hammerhead_ribozyme from 1 species